AAGAAGUGAAGAGGAAAGGAAAGAACACAAACCCUAGGUGGGAAAAUUGAAGAAAAAGUGUGGGAUUUCAAGGGAUUAAGCUAAUAAAGGUAAAAUUUUGUGAUUUUAUCUUGUGAUUUACAUUACCCAUGCUUUCUUUUUCAUUUUCCAUGCUUAGAACUCAAGUUUGCAUGAUGAACCCAUGCUGGCCGAAUUUGAAAGGAGAGGUUUUGAGCAUUGAUUUUGCUAGAUUUCAAGCUAAUUAAGUGUUUUUGGUUGUUUGGUAAUGGAAAGUAUGAAAAUCUAAUAAGGAAUCACUUUGUUCUUCACAAACCCACAAGAGGCCGAAUUUUUUAGGGACGAUAUUAAGGCUGAAAUUGAUGAUAUUUCAUAAUAUUUUGGUGGUAUUUAAUGAUUGGUGAGGCUAGAAAUUUAAUGAGAAAUUUUGACAUGAAAAUCUGAAUUUUUAUCUAAUGUAUAGACAUGUGCAAUUUAUGGUUUGGACUGAUAAAUUGAAUCAUAUUCACAGUCAUUGAGGUAUUUUAAGUAUAAUUGGAGUGUAGAAAGUGAAAGAAAUCGAUUUGGAGUUAAAUUGGAGGUUUUAGCCAAUUACAUUGAGAAUAGUGCGAAUUAGGUCGAAUAUCGUAUUUAAACGGCUAUUCGGACAUUUUGCAUCACAUUUCGUGCAUUCAUAUAGAUUUAUAGAGCCUGAAAUAGUUUAUGAUAAAUUGACACAAUUUAUUAAACUUCGUGUCACGUAUGAUGUAUAGGUGGUGAGCCCUCUAAUAAGGGUAAAGAGAUUGUGCCCGAAGAUCAGGAAUAGGAGUAUAUCGAAUUCCUAGUACUGUGAGUAACCUUACUAUCAUCUUAAUUAUCUAAAGUGAUUUUUAUUCAAUUUUGUGAAUUUUAUGAAAAAUGAAUUAAAUGAUUAAUUUUUUGAUUUUAUAAACAAAAUGUGAUUUAAUGAAAUGAUUUCAUAAAAUUGUUUUAAAAUUGAAUGAUGGUUUGAAAAUAGAGUAAUUGGAGACCAUUUGAUGUAUUGUGAAUUUAUGGUUCUAAUUGAUUGGCUUAUGACAAUAUUGGCAUGAAUGGCUGAAUUGGUAUUUGUGUUGAAAUGAAUAAACUGUUAUUUGCCUUGAUAGGCUAGAUAAUGAUAAAAUUGCCAUGUCAUACUGUUGAAUUUUUAUUGUAUGGUGGGAUAUUGAUUAGCUUACUACAGUGGGCGGGUUCCGUGGACCAGCCUAUUAGAGGGGCACGGUAACCCCGUUAUAUCUUAUCUCAGUAUGAGAGGCAUGGGUGGAUAACUCCUGAGGUUAACACUUUUAGAGUUCACUUCACAUCAAACCAUCACGUGAGGGGAAACUCAGCCAACGCCAAGGAACGACUAUGUUUUCAAAAUAAAAACAUAAUUUAUGUGUACAUGACUUUUUAACAGCCUUGGCGGACUCGGUUGGGAUAGCCUUCGAUCAAGGUAUCCUUGAUAACUGGGUAUGAGAAUGAUUUUGGCACGAGCCAAAGCUUUUAAGAAAUUCAUAAGCCAUAUUAAUUACUCGAUUUAUAUGAAUUGAUUUUAUUUGGUUAAAACAAAGUGAAAGGUGAUGAAUUUCAAUACGUUAAACUAUUUUAUCUGUCUCCAUUUACUCAACUUUAGAUGGUUUAGAUGGUAUCUGUUUACUCACUGAGAUUUUAUAAUCUCACCACCCUCAUUUUCAAUAAUUUCAGGCUCGAGGUAGCCUGUGGAUAGCAGAUAUCGUCAAGGAUUAUAGUUGGCUUUACUACUUCAAAAAAAACUAUAGGUUUACUACCUUUGUGCACUUUUGUUCCUUGUGGGCCCACGAGUCACUGUAAAAUAAAUUUAAUAUCUUGGUUAUCUGUAUUAUAGUACGUAUGAAUUUAUUUAUCUUUUACAUUACAAAAAAAUUAUUUAUCGAUGACUCUAUAAAUAUUAUUUUACAAGAAAUUAGAAUAUUUUUAUUUUAUUCAAAUAGUUGCAAUAUCAUUUUUAAUAAAUUUUUUAGACACCUAAAUUUAUUUUAAAUAUGAAAUAUGUGUUUUCCACUCAUCUACUACAUCUUUAGUCGAGUUCGAAAAAUUUUGAGGAAAAAUGACGAAAAUACUCCUGUGAGGUGAAAAUUAUUUUUGCACGAUUUUGAAAUGAAAAAAGCUUAAAAUUCUUUAAAAACGAGGAUUGGUGAUGAUUACUCACAGGGGAGAUGAAAAAAAAUGGUACUAAAGCCUUGCGAGGUUCCGAUUGGCACUCCGGGUAACGAAUGUCUACCGGGACAUCGCGGCAGUUGUCACGGGCUUGAUGGGAGUACCGGGUCGUGACAGAGUGACAGUGAUGAGCCACAAAAUGAAGAUGAAAGAGAAGCUGCCAACUUAUAUUUCAUGGGAAUCGAUGACUUCAAGGU
rnacentral:lncRNA from 1 species